rnacentral:rRNA from 1 species
AUGCCCUCGGGGCUGCAGUGGUGGCCGCCGGAGCUGCAGAAGAAUAUGGAGGCCGGCGGGGCUGCAAUGGAGCGCCGUUCGGGGGUCGUUAAUGCCACCAAGGCUGCAAUGGAGCUCCGUCUGGUCUGUGAAGAACCAGUCGCUUCAAUGCACCAGGGGCGCUGCCGGCCGGUGCUACAGAGCGUCGCCAGCGCCGGCAAGGGGGGCGUUUGGCACACUGUGUUGCAACUUCCACCCGUGUUGCGAGCCUGCAACCCACUCGCUGGUGCUGCAUGUUGUAUGGGGCGCGACGCCGUCGGGUAA